AACGAACGCUGGCGGCAGGCCUAACACAUGCAAGUCGAGCGCACCUUCGGGUGAGCGGCGGACGGGUUAGUAACGCGUGGGAAUAUGCCCUUCACUACGGAAUAGCCUCGGGAAACUGAGAGUAAUACCGUAUACGCCCUUCGGGGGAAAGAUUUAUCGGUGAAGGAUUAGCCCGCGUCUGAUUAGAUAGUUGGUGGGGUAAUGGCCUACCAAGUCUACGAUCAGUAGCUGGUUUGAGAGGAUGAUCAGCAACACUGGGACUGAGACACGGCCCAGACUCCUACGGGAGGCAGCAGUGGGGAAUCUUAGACAAUGGGCGCAAGCCUGAUCUAGCCAUGCCGCGUGAGUGACGAAGGCCUUAGGGUCGUAAAGCUCUUUCACCAGAGAUGAUAAUGACAGUAUCUGGUAAAGAAACCCCGGCUAACUCCGUGCCAGCAGCCGCGGUAAUACGGAGGGGGUUAGCGUUGUUCGGAAUUACUGGGCGUAAAGCGUACGUAGGCGGAUUGGAAAGUUGGGGGUGAAAUCCCGGGGCUCAACCCCGGAACUGCCUCCAAAACUAUCAGUCUAGAGUUCGAGAGAGGUGAGUGGAAUUCCAAGUGUAGAGGUGAAAUUCGUAGAUAUUUGGAGGAACACCAGUGGCGAAGGCGGCUCACUGGCUCGAUACUGACGCUGAGGUACGAAAGUGUGGGGAGCAAACAGGAUUAGAUACCCUGGUUGUCCACACCGUAAACGAUGAAUGCCAGACGUCGGGGGGCUUGCCCUUCGGUGUCACGCCUAACGGAUUAAGCAUUCCGCCUGGGGAGUACGGUCGCAAGAUUA
rnacentral:rRNA from 1 species